CCAGCAGCGUGGUGUGUAACAGCUCUGUUGUGUCCAUCUUUGUUCUGACUUCAAACUCUAGCCAAGAAACCUAUCCUCAUGCUUGAACUGGGCUGGUGAUAGUGAAGGAUCUGAUUUUACUGAGGAUGAGAUACUCUUCACCCUCUUCUGUCAUUCCCUUUAGCCUUCAGUUCUAUCAGACAGUCGGUCCUCGUGCUUCUGGAGAAGAUGCUGACUUUGAAGAGAAGGGAGCUGUGCAUAAUGCAGAAGAGCGGUUGACACGGAGGCUCCUGGAGGAUUUCAGUGUUCGCACCCUCUACGAUAAGCUGGAAGAUCAGAACUUGCAUCUGGCAUCUCAGCUGGCCAAGCACAGGAUGGACGUGCUGGUGUUCUACAGUGGAGUCAGCCAGCAGAUCCGGAGUCUCAUGGACAUGCUGCAAGCACUGGACACUGAAGACUUGAAAAGGGCUCGUGAGCACAGACCUGCAGAGAGCAGCAGGGCAGCAGCAUGUGCUGAACAGUGUGAUGGGCACUGUGGACACGACUUCCAAGCAGGUGAGAGAGCCAAAGUGCAGAGCAAGAGAGCAGCAGUGUCAGGGAGCAUCAGUGGUUGCACAGGACAUGAUGGGUACAGUGGAUGGCUCAUACACAUGAGAGGACAUCCCACAAGACUGUGUCUUCCAGUGGUGCUGUAGUUCUGUAGGAGCUCUGUAAGAGCUGACCGCCUGUCUUCGUGUGAGUUCAGUGAGAAGCCAGGUCCAGCUUAGGAACAGGUAAGCAGAGAGUUCUUUGGAAAUGCUACAGCAUGAGGCAGCUUGGAGUCACCAUGUGGCAUUUCCAAAGGUUCGUGCUCUUGGCUUUGCUCUGGAGAUCAUUGCAGUUCUUCAUGUGGUUCUGUAGGAGUCCACUGAAAGUGCCUGUUGGGUUCAUUAGGUGCUCCAUGGCAAGAGGCAACAGAGUUAAUGAAAGCUCUGGAGAUGCUGCUGGGGAAUGCUCUGUACAAGAGUGCAUCCUUGAAGCGAGCUGUGGAGCAGAAGGUCCAAGGGCAGGAUGUGGUGGCAGCUGUGCCCUCCCUGGACAGCCUGGCCAGUGGAGGUAAAUCAGGAGGAAUGGAAGGGCAGGUGAGUUGCAGGUGUCUUAUUGGGCUGUCUCUCACCUCCCUGAUAGUUUUUUGCCCAUUUCUUUAACUCUUGGGCCCUUUUUACCUCAUAGGGUCAUGAGCUGCCUCAGCAGUGGGAGCUCUUCACUGCGAACAAUGUUUUUUUCAGCUUCCCUGGGCAUGAAGAACAAGGUAAAGGCAAUGACUUCUUGUCCUGGGUUUGGCUGGGAUAGAGUUAGUGCUCUUCCUAUGCUGUGCUUUGAAUUUAGUGUGGGAAUAACGCUGGUAACACACCGAUGGUUUAGUUGUUGCUCUGUAGCACUUACUCAGUGGCAAGAACAUCUGUGUUCCAUGCCCUGCCAGUGAGGAGCACGAGAAGCCAGGAGGUAGCAGAGCCAGAACCUGAAUUAGCCCAAGGGAUAUUCCAUACCAUGGAACAUCAUGCUCAGGAUAGAAACUGGGGGGAGUUGGCCAGGAGGGGCUGAUCACUGCUUGGGGCUGGGCAUCGGUCAGCAGGUACUGAGCAGUUGUACUGUGCAUCACUUCCCCCCUUGAGUUUCAUUCCUCAGGUGUGUUGCAGACUCCCAGCCCUGAAG
rnacentral:lncRNA from 14 species